GUUGGCAUAGCACACUACAACUUUUUAGUUUAUUUCUGUCUUGUAAAACAACAGUAGGACUUUGCUAAUUGAAGUUAAGCCUUGUGUAAUUAUUUCAAAGUAGAACAUGAAUUGCAUCACAAUUGUGUCCUAUUGUUCUUGCAAGUAUUAAUCCCUUUCUCUAUUGGUUCACCUCUGGCUUAUUGGAAUUUCCCUUUUGUUUUGCUCUACAAAUUAAACAAUAUUAUUAUAAUCAAGCAAUGAGUUGUCAAUCUAUCUCUGAGGAGGUCCUGUAACUCUGUAUUUCUCUCUGGUAGCAGUCAUCUUUCAUAUCUGUGAAAAUAUGGAGUAGUUGGCCUGUUCCCCCAUUGUUCAAUACAUCCUGGAGUGGUUAAUGGAGAAUGUAUAGAGUGGUAUAUGGAGAAAGUAUACAGUGGUACAUGGAGAAAGUAUACAGUGGUACAUGGAGAAAAUAUACAGUGGUACAUGGAGAAAGUAUACAGUGCUACAUGGAGAAAGUAUACAGUGGUACAUGGAGAAAGUAUACAGUGGUACAUGGAGAAUGUAUACAGUGGUACAUGGAGAAACUAUACAGUGGUACAUGGAGAAAGUAUACAGUGGUUUAUGGAAAAACCCUGAAACCCCAGAGAACAAGCAACAACAGUGUUGAUGCACAGUGGCUAGGAAAAAUGCCCUAAAUGGAUAUGAAAUUUAGGAAGAAACCUAGAGAGGAACCUGGCUCUGAGGUGUGGCCUGUCCUCUUCUGCCUAUGCCAGGUGAACAUCUUAAGAGUACAGACUGUAAUAAUUUAUAAAUGCAUGUGGGCAGAGUCCAGAGUCUAUAAAACAAUCCAUGUCAGAAGCAUGACCAGAUGGACAAGGACAGGGAUCCGUGGGGGAGGAAUGGUCAAUGGAGUAGCUGGAAUCGUUAUGUAUCGUCUUUAUCUGCAACACAAUCAGGAAGACUUUGAACAGGGACAUCUAUGAGUCUUUCGAGACUGGUACUCCUGAGGUGUGGGCCAGGACCUCAUGUACUCCUUUCAGACGCAGCAGGAGACAAGGAAAAUUUAGAGAGCGCAUUCUUUAGAUUAACAAGGAUUUACAAAGGCGAAAGGUAACUGACCCUACUCCCCCAGCACAAUAAUAAUACAUCAGAGGGGGUAGGGCCAAAUGCAUCUUCAUGCAUUGGGAUCAAGGCUUGUUAAUCUAUACAUAAUAAAUGUGAAUAAAUGUGAUCCAUGUGUUAAACCAAACCUGGGUUUGUCUGAAUACUGCCUCAGACAUGGGGUCUCCUACCGCUGAUAACCCCUCCUUCACAUGUUCACAAUGUUGACAUCACUCCUACUGCAAAAUGUUCUAUUGCCUCUGGAUUUUCUAGCGCCUCUAGUUGCUGCCUGCUUCAGUGUUGUUGAGUGGGAAUACUGAACCACAGGGUGGUGAUGUUGGACACAAUAAAACAGGAGGGUUCCUCGUUGGAGAACUACAGCAUAGAGCCUCUGCAGGGCUGAACUUUCGAAAGCAGUUCUGAUAAUAAUGACAUGACUGCACCUCGACAUGGAGAUGUACCAGCAGUUUACCUGUUGGCCUUAUUUCACAUCAGAGAAACCGUCAAUUUACUCACUGUUUGAUCUUGUGACCAGUUACAUGAGAUUUUAUUCACUCAGAACAUGGGAUUGGUGAAAGAAUAAUUUUAUUGAAGACAUUUGGGCUGUGUGAUCCGUGUGGGAGUGUUGUGGAUGAAUCAGUGGAUGAUGGCGUUUUAAUGUGUCCAUUUGGACCCGAGCAUCGCACACUGCUGCACUCACUCAGCCAUCUACUCCUCCAAUACAUUUUGGGAGGCAGGUCUUACCAGGACAUUGAGAAUAACCCGUGGUAUUGAAGACAUUGAGAGACAUCAACAGACACACAAGCAGAGAGAGACAUCAACAGACACAUGAGGAGAGAGAGAGAAAUCAACAGACACACGAGGAGAGAGCAAGACAUAAACAAACACAUGAGGAGAGAGAGACAUCAACAGACACCCAAACAGAGAGAGAUGUCAACAGACACACAAGGAGAGUGAGAGACAUCAACAGACAGAUGAGAAGAGAGAGAGACAUCAACAGACAGAUGAGGAGAGAGCGAGAGACAUCAACAGACACAUGAAGAGAGUGAGAAACAUCAACAGGCACACGAGGGGAGAAAGACAUCAACAGACACACAAGGAGCAAGAGAGACAUCCACAGACACACGAGGAGAGAAACAUCAAAAGACACACAAGGAGAGAAAUCAACAGACACCCAAGGAGAGAGAAAGACAUCAACAGACACCCAAGGAUAGAGAGAGACAUCAACAGACACAUGAGGAGAGAGAAAGACAUCAACAGACACCCAAGGAGAGAGAGAGACAUCAACAGACACAUGAGGAGAGAGAAAGACAUCAACAGACACAUGAGGAGAGAGAAAGACAUCAACAGACACCCAAGGAGAGAGAGAGACAUCAACAGACACAUGAGGAGAAAGAAAGACAGCAACAGACACCCAAGGAUAGAGAGAGACAUCAACAGACACAUGAGGAGAAAGAAAGACAUCAACAGACACCCAAGGAGAGAGAGAAACAUCAACAGACACACGAGGAGAGAGACAUCAACAGACACAUGAGGAGAGAAAGACAUCAAGAGAUACAUGAGCAGAGAGAGACACAUCAACAGACACACGAAGAGAGAGAUGCAUCAACAGACACUCAAGCAGAGAGACACAUCAACAGUCACGAAGAGAGAGAGAUAUCAACAGACACUUGAGGAGAGAGAGAGAAAGAGAGAGAGAUUGAGACGUACCUUCAGGCUGCUGAAGGCACCAAACAACAGAACUGGUCCCAGUAUGUUACAUAAGGACAUAUAUGCAGUAGCCAGUUGGUAAGAGAAGCUGCGUUCUGCCGGAAAGCUCAGUGCUGCCGGCUGGUGGCUGAAAACCAUACUGCAUGUUGAAGCCUGUGGCUUGUGGCCAACCAUGAGAAUUAUUAAGUACGUUUACACACGUAGGAUAUCAUUUGCAAAUGCAUCUACAUGGAGGAAGAUGGGAUCUGGGUGCAGUCUAGUGGAGUUAGUCUCUCUGGGACAGAUGUUUAGUUAACAGUUUGGAGGUGUUAUGAUGAGGUCACCAUAGUCCUGUUAGUGUCUCUCUACCUGUAUUAUUAUUACUCUCUACCGGCAUUCUUAUUACUCUCUCUACCUGUUUUAUUACUACUCUCUCUACCUGUAUUAUUAUUACUCUCUCUACCGAUACUAUUAUUACUCUCUCCCUGUGUUUGGUUUUAUCAGGCUAAAAUGUUAGGGACAUUAUAGUGUUGAAUGUGAUAAAGAAAGUUGAGUCAAU
ensembl:lncRNA